CGGAACGAUGGGAGCUUGCUCCCAGGCGUCGAGCGGCGGACGGGUGAGUAACACUUAGGAAUCUACCUAGUAGUGGGGGAUAGCUCGGGGAAACUCGAAUUAAUACCGCAUACGUCCUACGGGAGAAAGGGGGCAGUUUAUUGCUCUCGCUAUUAGAUGAGCCUAAGUCGGAUUAGCUAGUUGGUGGGGUAAAGGCCUACCAAGGCGACGAUCUGUAGCUGGUCUGAGAGGAUGAUCAGCCACACCGGGACUGAGACACGGCCCGGACUCCUACGGGAGGCAGCAGUGGGGAAUAUUGGACAAUGGGGGCAACCCUGAUCCAGCCAUGCCGCGUGUGUGAAGAAGGCCUUUUGGUUGUAAAGCACUUUAAGCAGUGAAGAAGACCUAACGGUUAAUACCCGUUAGCGAUGACAUUAGCUGCAGAAUAAGCACCGGCUAACUCUGUGCCAGCAGCCGCGGUAAUACAGAGGGUGCAAGCGUUAAUCGGAAUUACUGGGCGUAAAGCGAGCGUAGGUGGCUUGAUAAGUCAGAUGUGAAAUCCCCGGGCUUAACCUGGGAACUGCAUCUGAUACUGUUAGGCUAGAAUAGGUGAGAGGAAGGUAGAAUUCCAGGUGUAGCGGUGAAAUGCGUAGAGAUCUGGAGGAAUACCGAUGGCGAAGGCAGCCUUCUGGCAUCAUAUUGACACUGAGGUUCGAAAGCGUGGGUAGCAAACAGGAUUAGAUACCCUGGUAGUCCACGCCGUAAACGAUGUCUACUAGUCGUUGGGUCCCUUGAGGACUUAGUGACGCAGCUAACGCAAUAAGUAGACCGCCUGGGGAGUACGGCCGCAAGGUUAAAACUCAAAUGAAUUGACGGGGGCCCGCACAAGCGGUGGAGCAUGUGGUUUAAUUCGAUGCAACGCGAAGAACCUUACCUGGUCUUGACAUACACAGAAUCUUGUAGAGAUACGAGAGUGCCUUCGGGAAUUGUGAUACAGGUGCUGCAUGGCUGUCGUCAGCUCGUGUCGUGAGAUGUUGGGUUAAGUCCCGCAACGAGCGCAACCCUUGUCCUUAGUUACCAGCGGGUUAAGCCGGGAACUCUAAGGAUACUGCCAGUGACAAACUGGGAGGAAGGCGGGGACGACGUCAAGUCAUCAUGGCCCUUACGACCAGGGCUACACACGUGCUACAAUGGUAGGUACAGAGGGCAGCUACACAGCGAUGUGAUGCGAAUCUCAAAAAGCCUAUCGUAGUCCAGAUUG
rnacentral:rRNA from 1 species